rnacentral:rRNA from 1 species
AUUGAACGCUGGCGGCAGGCCUAACACAUGCAAGUCGAACGAGUGGCGGACGGGUGAGUAAUGUCUUGGAAACUGCCUGAUGGAGGGGGAUAACUACUGGAAACGGUAGCUAAUACCGCAUACACUCGGAUGUGCCCAGAUGGGAUUAGCUAGUCGGUGGGGUAAAGGCUCAACUAGGCGACGAUCCCUAGCUGGUCUGAGAGGAGGACCAGCCACACUGGGACUGAGCCACGGUCCAGACUCCUACGGGAGGCAGCAGUGGGGAAUAUUGGACAAUGGGCGCAAGCCUGACGCAGCCAUGCCGCGUGUAUGAAGAAGGCCUUCGGGUUGUAAAGUACUGUCAGCGGGGAGGCGUUACCCGCAGAAGAAGCACCGGCUAACUCCGUGCCAGCAGCCGCGGUAAUUC